rnacentral:lncRNA from 1 species
GUGCCCCUACAUCCCCCAAAAUAAGUGGAAACAUCAGCCUUCGUGUCAUCUGUGUAUUAAUUUACUAUAGUACACGUGCUGCUGGGCUACCUGAAAUAUGUGGAAAGAAACAACACAAACAUCCUCACAGAGGUGACAACAACAACAACAACCAAAAAAAAAAAAAAAUUCCUUCAAGGGGGCAGGGGCAAGGAAGGAAGACUCAGCUAUUCUGUCAGGUAUACUUGAGAGAAAUGCUCUAGUACUCUGAGCAGUACCGACAGCAUGAUCCUGGCUGAACAGAAGAUGAAUCAAUGGGUAAGCAGUUCCUUUUGCAGUAAAAAGUGUUAAACUCGUUGAGCCUUGUGCCGCUUUGAAGUUCGCAGGCAUGACAUUUUUCGUGUUUUUAUUACAUUUUAUUUUUUGUGUGUUUGAGCUACUGCUUAGUCAAGUAGAUGCUGUCAAAUCCUGAUAAAGCAAACUCCAACAUCCUACAGUUAAAUGAUGAUAUAAUGCAACACGCACAAAUGAUGAUAUAAUGCAACACGCACAAACUGUGAGCUUUUUUUUGUUGUUGUUAUUUUUCCUUUUUUAGUCACUUAGGGCAUCUUUUAAAUACAUCUGAGAGUUUAACCACAAGGCUGUCGCUGCAGUUUACAAACAAGCUUAGGUAGUUACUUAGUUAACUCAAAAUGAUUGGAGAAAUGAAGACAACUUGUGAUUUCCAGCGUUCUGUACUUGCAAGACAGCCAGUAUUUCAAUCUGAAGAAAUUUUGCUUUAAUGUGCUUCACCUUCUC